rnacentral:rRNA from 1 species
GACGAACGCUGGCGGCGUGCUUAACACAUGCAAGUCGAACGGAAAGGCCCCUUUGGGGGUCCUCGAGUGGCGAACGGGUGAGUAACACGUGAGUAACCUGCCCUUGACUUCGGGAUAACUUCAGGAAACUGGGGCUAAUACCGGAUAGGAAUACUUGCUGCAUGGUGGGGGUUGGAAAGCUUCGGCGGUUUUGGAUGGACUCGCGGCUUAUCAGCUUGCUGGUGGGGUAGUGGCUUACCAAGGCUUUGACGGGUAGCCGGCCUGAGAGGGCGACCGGCCACAUUGGGACUGAGAUACGGCCCAGACUCCUACGGGAGGCAGCAGUGGGGAAUAUUGCACAAUGGGCGGAAGCCUGAUGCAGCAACGCCGCGUGCGGGAUGACGGCCUUCGGGUUGUAAACCGCUUUCAGCAGGGGCGAAGCUUGUGGUGACGGUACCUGCAGAAGAAGCACCGGCUAACUACGUG